rnacentral:rRNA from 1 species
GGAAAAGAAACCAACAGGGAUUGCCUUAGUAGCGGCGAGUGAAGCGGCAAUAGCUCAAAUUUGAAAUCUGCCAACAGGCCGAGUUGUAAUUUGAAGAAAGCAAUUCUGGAUGUGUCUUUGCUCAAGUUCCUUGGAAUAGGACAUCAUGGAGGGUGAGAAUCCCGUGAUGCGAAGGUAGCACGUCUAUGUAGAAUGUUUUCGACGAGUCGAGUUGUUUGGGAAUGCAGCUCAAAGUGGGUGGUAAAUUCCAUCUAAAGCUAAAUAUUGGCGAGAGACCGAUAGCGAACAAGUACUGUGAAGGAAAGAUGAAAAGAACUUUGAAAAGAGAGUGAAAAAGUACGUGAAAUUGUUGAAAUGGAAGGGCUUGAGAUUAGACAUGGUGUUUAGUGUUCCGCUUUCUUUUGGGAAUGUGUACUCGCUUUACACCGGGCCAGCAUCAGUUUUGAUGGGAGGAUAAAAGGUAUUGAAUGUGGCUGCUUGCAGUGUUAUAGCUUUAUCAAAUACUUCCAAUCGGGACUGAGGACCGCGCAUUUGCUAGGAUGCUGGCGUAAUGAUCUUAA